rnacentral:rRNA from 1 species
UACGGAGGGUGCGAGCGUUAAUCGGAAUUACUGGGCGUAAAGCGCGCGUAGGCGGUUUGUUAAGUCGGAUGUGAAAGCCCCGGGCUCAACCUGGGAACUGCACCCGAUACUGGCCGACUUGAGUGCGAGAGAGGGAGGUAGAAUUCCAUGUGUAGCGGUGGAAUGCGUAGAUAUAUGGAGGAAUACCGGUGGCGAAGGCGGCCUCCUGGCUCGACACUGACGCUGAGGUGCGAAAGCGUGGGUAGCAAACAGG